rnacentral:rRNA from 1 species
GCAUAUCAUAAGCGGAGGAAAAGAAACCAACAGGGAUUGCCCUAGUAACGGCGAGUGAAGCGGCAACAGCUCAAAUUUGAAAUCUGGCUCUUUCAGAGUCCGAGUUGUAAUUUGCAGAGGGCGCUUUGGCUUUGGCAGCGGUCCAAGUUCCUUGGAACAGGACGUCACAGAGGGUGAGAAUCCCGUACGUGGUCGCUAGCUAUUGCCGUGUAAAGCCCCUUCGACGAGUCGAGUUGUUUGGGAAUGCAGCUCUAAAUGGGAGGUAAAUUUCUUCUAAAGCUAAAUAUUGGCCAGAGACCGAUAGCGCACAAGUAGAGUGAUCGAAAGAUGAAAAGCACUUUGGAAAGAGAGUCAAACAGCACGUGAAAUUGUUGAAAGGGAAGCGCUUGCAGCCAGACUUGCUUGCAGUUGCUCAUCCGGGCUUUUGCCCGGUGCACUCUUCUGUAGGCAGGCCAGCAUCAGUUUGGGCGGUGGGAUAAAGGUCUCUGUCACGUACCUCUCUUCGGGGAGGCCUUAUAGGGGAGACGACAUACCACCAGCCUAGACUGAGGUCCGCGCAUCUGCUAGGAUGCUGGCGUAAUGGCUGUAAGCGGCCCGUCUUGAAACACGGACCAAGGAGUCUAACAUCUAUGCGAGUGUUUGGGUGUCAAGCCCGAGCGCGUAAUGAAAGUGAACGGAGGUGGGAACCCGCAAGGGUGCACCAUCGACCGAUCCUGAAGUUUACGGAAGGAUUUGAGUAAGAGCAUGGCUGUUGGGACCCGAAAGAUGGUGAACUAUGCUUGAAUAGGGUGAAGCCAGAGGAAACUCUGGUGGAGGCUCGCAGCGGUUCUGACGUGCAAAUCGAUCGUCAAAUUUGGGCAUAGGGGCGAAAGACUAAUCGAACUAUCUAGUAGCUGGUUCCUGCCGA